rnacentral:lncRNA from 1 species
AUUUUAGAGCAGGAAAAGAUGUUAAAACAGAUAAUUAAAGCUAGAAGGAACCUUUGAGGUCUUAUUGCUAGCUUCUGAAAUGCCUAUGCUUUCAUCCUAGGACUUUUAUCAGCAUAUGGGCCCUCCUCACCCUGGACUAUCCAGCCACUCCUGUGAUUUUCAUAACUGGGAAUAUUCCUCUGCCAGGUCUGCCCCUUUCUCCCACUGGGAGAAGAGUGGCAAAGUGACUUGCCCAGGGUCACAAAGCUAGAAAGUACAUGAAACCAGAUUUGAACCCAGGACCUCUUGUCUCCAGGCCUGGCUCUUAAUCCAUUGAGCCAUCUACCUGCUUUCCUAUAACACAUUAAAAAAAAAAAACAACCCAAUCCUUCUCUAUCUUCCAUCUUGGAAUCAAUGCAAGAUAGAAGGUAAGAAAGGAUUUGUUGUUACUAAGUAUUGAUUCCAAGGUAGAAAAGCAGUAAGGGCUAGGCCAGUGAUGGUGGACCUUUUAGAGACCUUGUGCCAGGCCCCACCCCCCUAGACUGUGUGCCAUGCCUUGCCCCCCACCAACUUCCAGUCAUGUUGUGCCCCACCCCUUAUCC